UACGGAGGGGGCUAGCGUUGUUCGGAAUUACUGGGCGUAAAGCGCACGUAGGCGGACUGUUAAGUCGGGGGUGAAAUCCUGGGGCUCAACCUCAGAAUUGCCUCCGAUACUGGCAGUCUCGAGUGCGGGAGAGGUGAGUGGAAUUCCCAGUGUAGAGGUGAAAUUCGUAGAUAUUGGGAAGAACACCAGUGGCGAAGGCGGCUCACUGGCCCGUAACUGACGCUGAGGUGCGAAGGCCAGGGGAGCAAACGGG
rnacentral:rRNA from 1 species